rnacentral:rRNA from 1 species
CGCUGGCGGCAGGCCUAACACAUGCAAGUCGAACGGCAGCACAGCAGUAGCAAUACUGUGGGUGGCGAGUGGCGGACGGGUGAGGAAUACAUGGGAAUCUGCCCUGUCGUGGGGGAUAACGUAGGGAAACUUACGCUAAUACCGCAUACGACCGGAAGGUGAAAGCGGCGGACCGCAAGGCGUCGCGCGACUGGAUGAGCCCAUGUCGGAUUAGCUAGUUGGCGGGGUAAAGGCCCACCAAGGCGACGAUCCGUAGCUGGUCUGAGAGGAUGAUCAGCCACACUGGAACUGAGACACGGUCCAGACUCCUACGGGAGGCAGCAGUGGGGAAUAUUGGACAAUGGGCGCAAGCCUGAUCCAGCCAUGCCGCGUGAGUGAAGAAGGCCUUCGGGUUGUAAAGCUCUUUUGUCCGGAAAGAAAAGCUCUCGGUUAAUACCCGGGGGUUCUGACGGUACCGGAAGAAUAAGCACCGGCU